rnacentral:rRNA from 1 species
GAAAGGGGAAAAAGAAAUUGCCAGUUGAUGAGCUCGCGUCGGAUUAGCUAGUUGGUAGUGUAAGGGACUACCAAGGCGACGAUCCGUAGCCGGUCUGAGAGGACGAUCGGCCACACUGGGACUGAGACACGGCCCGACUCCUACGGGAGGCAGCAGUGGGGAAUUUUCCGCAAUGGGCGAAAGCCUGACGGAGCAAGACCGCGUGAGGGAGGAAGGCUCUUGGGUUGUAAACCUCUUUUCUCAAGGAAGAAGAAAUGACGGUACUUGAGGAAUCAGCAUCGGCUAACUCCGUGCCAGCAGCCGCGGUAAUACGGAGGAUGCAAGCGUUAUCCGGAAUGAUUGGGCGUAAAGCGUCCGCAGGUGGCAGUUCAAGUCUGCCGUUAAAGACUCCAGCUUAACUGGAGGAAGGCGGUGGAAACUGAACAGCUAGAGUGCGGUAGGGGCAGAGGGAAUUCCCGGUGUAGCGGUGAAAUGCGUAGAGAUCGGGAAGAACCAGUGGCGAAAGCGCUCUGCUGGACCG